rnacentral:rRNA from 1 species
UAGGGAAUCUUCGGCAAUGGACGAAAGUCUGACCGAGCAACGCCGCGUGAGUGAAGAAGGUUUUCGGAUCGUAAAACUCUGUUGUUAGAGAAGAACAAGGACGUUAGUAACUGAACGUCCCCUGACGGUAUCUAACCAGAAAGCCACGGCUAACUACGUGCCAGCAGCCGCGGUAAUACGUAGGUGGCAAGCGUUGUCCGGAUUUAUUGGGCGUAAAGCGAGCGCAGGCGGUUUCUUAAGUCUGAUGUGAAAGCCCCCGGCUCAACCGGAUAGGGUCAUUGGAAGCUGGUAGACUUCAGUGCAGAAGAGGAGAGUGGAAUUCCAUGUGUAGCGGUAAAAUGCGUAGAUAUAUGGAGGAAAACCAGUGGCGAAGGCGGCUCUCUGGUCUGUAACUGACGCUGAGGCUCGAAAGCGUGGGGAGCAAACAGG